rnacentral:lncRNA from 1 species
CAGAAGUGGCUUGAAGAGGUCAGGGCUUAUCUCAGCUCUGGCUCUCAAGGUGCCCUGUGUCACUGACCAAGAGAAGUCAGGGCAGGAAGUGAAGCAGAGGCUUACUGCUCACUGGCUUGCUCCUGAUGGCUUGUGUCAAGGUGACAGCUCGUCAGCCAACUGCGUGGGAAAGAUCCAGGUCAUGUUUUUUUCAUGUGUUUAUUUGUCUCAGCAAUACUGGAACUUGGCAUUCUACCUUUCUGAAAUUCCUUUUUGUUUCACAGUCUCACUUUGUAGCACUGGCCUUUGUGGAACUUGUGUAGAACAUCUAGCCUCAGACUUACAGAGAUUUGUCUGCCUCUGCCUCCCAGUGCUGGGUUUAAAGGCGAAGGCCACCACACCCCUUUAUAUUUAUUUUUAUUUCAUGUGCAUUGUUUUGCCUACAUAUAUGUCUGUGUGAGAAGAGUUAGAUCCCCUGAAAUUUGAGUUAGACAGUUGCCAUGUGGUCCUGGGAAUUGAACCCAGGGCCUAUGGAAGAGCAGGCAGUGCUUUUAACUACUGAACCAUCUCUGCAGUCCCUGGAGUUCUCUUUUUAACGUUUUUACUUUAUUGUAUGUGCAGGAGUGUAAGUACCUCUGUUUUGCAUACAUAUGGACGCUAGAGGACAACUUUCGGGAGUCGGUUGCUGCUCUCUACUUUGCUGAGAUGUGGUCUCUUAAUUCUGCCACUGUGUUCCACAUACUGUAGAAUGGCAGGCCUGAGAGUG